CCCCCCACGCCUCUCGAAGACGCGCACCAUGGGGGGU
rnacentral:sRNA from 1 species